rnacentral:lncRNA from 1 species
GUUGAUAUGAAAUAAAUUGAUGUAGAAAUUUUGAAUCUUGACCUUUUGAUUUCGGCACUUGGAAGUUCACAACCACUGUCCACUAAUUGUUAUUCAAGUAUUGCAGUAAAGUUUGUUGCAAUUGAAACAUGUAGACUUAGAGCUAGCAGUGCUAAAAGUGAAUUGAAGAGGCACCUUAAUUUGUUGAUAGGCCGAAUGUCAAUUCCAAAGCCGUUGCUUACUGAUCGGCAAUCUAUAGGCAAAGCAGUUGCCAUAAACAGGUGCAAAUGGAGAGAGUAAAAAUAUUGUGCUGAAAUAUAUAUAUGAUAUAAGUGAAUUUCCACAAGUAUGUACCGUGCUAUAUAUUUUGUGAUGAUAUGUGUAUAUAUGAGUAAUUUUGUGAUAUGAGAAAUUUAUGAAA